UACAGAGGUCUCGAGCGUUGUCCGGAUUCAUUGGGCGUAAAGAGCGUGUAGGCGGCCAGGUAGGUCGGUUGUGAAAACUGGAGGCUCAACCUUCAGAGGUCGACCGAAACCAUCUGGCUAGAGUCCGGGAGAGGAGAGUGGAAUUCCUGGUGUAGCGGUGAAAUGCGCAGAUAUCAGGAAGAACACCCGUGGCGAAAGCGGCUCUCUGGAACGGUACUGACGCUGAGACGCGAAAGCGUGGGGAGCGAACAGG
rnacentral:rRNA from 1 species